CCGGCGCCCCGUAUAAUCCCGGGGAAUGAAGGCCCAGAGCCACGCGGAUGUCCCGCUGCUCCAGGGCGGGACCCAGGGGCUCUCCUCACCCUCACAGUGCCUAAGGCAGUCAGUCUGGACGCCCCUAACUGGUUUACAAGUGAAAGUUCUCGCGGCUACCCAGCGGCAGCCCUGACUCUGCCGCUCCCAUCACAGCCUCGCGACCCGAGGCCCGAUGAGUUCUCCCGGGCACUGGCCCUGACUGCAGGACGCAGGAGGCAGGAGCCCGGAGCCCGGAGCCUCCAGCCCAGGCUGAGAACCCCGAGUGUCCAGUGGAAGACACACCUUAGCCGGCGUCCUGACAGCCGCUGUCUGCAGUGCUUGCAGGGGCCCAGGACAGAACCCCCCCCCCCCCAGAGAGCCCCCAGGCGACGCACUGGAGGUGCUGCCUCACCUUUCCCUAGGAAGGUCGUGGCGGGGUCCUCCUGCGCAGCUCCGGGUCCGCCAGGCUGGAAGAGAAGGAGCGUGCGUUCCCACCCGGGAGCGCGUCCCCGCUGCCCACAUCGAGCCCUGCGCGUCCGAGGCCGAGCUUCAGCACCACAGAAUUCCUCACCGACACCCGAUUCAGACAGGGAUAACUUUGUCCAUCCUCAGCUCAGCCUGCCCAGCCCUCCCCAGCCCGGCCGGCCCCCAGGAGUCCCUGUGGUCUCACUCUGGCCCCGGGCAGGCUUCUUGUCCGAUCCGUCUCAGGUGUCAGGUCUCCAGCGCACACUUGGACUUGGCUCCAGAACAAACCAGGCGGCCGAUGUCCGCGGUGACCGCCCAGGGCGCGCCGGCCCCCUGUCCACUCCGGGGCUCCAUCUACACGUCAGCUUCAAGCCGCCUCUGCAGACGCCCGAGAGAGGCCUUCGGGGAGGAAAAAGGGGUUGUAAAAACCAGGGCUGCCCACGGGGCCGGCGCUGUGGCGCGGCAGGUUACCACCCUGGCCUGGAGCGCCGGCAUCCCACGUGGGCAUUGGUUUGA
rnacentral:lncRNA from 1 species